rnacentral:rRNA from 1 species
GUGUCAGCCGCCGCGGUAAUACGGAGGGUGCAAGCGUUGUCCGGAUUUAUUGGGUUUAAAGGGUGCGUAGGUGGUGUCUUAAGUCUGGUUUGAAAGCAGGCGGCUUAACCGUCUGAUGUGGCUGGAAACUGGGGCACUUGAAUUGGUUGGCGGUCGCCGGAACGGGUCAUGUAGCGGUGAAAUGCAUAGAUAUGACCCAGAACCCCGAUUGCGAAGGCAGGCGACUAGGACCAGAUUGACACUGAGGCACGAGAGCAUGGGGAGCGAACAGGAUUAGAUACCCUUGUAGUCC